rnacentral:misc_RNA from 1 species
AAAAAGUUGCCUUUCUUCUAAAGAAAUUAAGCUCUCUCCUCCAAUUUGAUCAUUAUAAUGGAGAACAACCAAGACAGGAAACGCCCAAUGGAUGACGAAGAGAGAAAGCAAGCGGACAGGAGCAUUCCCUUCUCUGAUCCUGAUCAAGUUCAUUCCGAUUUUGCUAUUGCAGUAGCUUUGCAAGAGCAGGAAAGGGCUGCUUUCAAUAUCCUAACAAGCAUCGGAAGUGCUAGUGAAGAGGAAAGUGAAGAAGAUUAUUCAAGCGAAGAAGAAAUCAAUGAAAAUGAUUAUGAAUUCUCUGAAAGUCAAGAAAUGGAUUUUCUUGAAGGACAAGAUAGCAACAGCGACAGCCAAGACAUGGAUGAAGAUGAUGAUGAUGAAGAAG